rnacentral:rRNA from 1 species
GACGAACGCUGGCGGCGUGGAUUAGGCAUGCAAGUCGAACGGUAUCAUCCUUUCGGGGGUGAGAGAGUGGCGAACGGGUGAGUAACACGUAGGUGAUCUACCCUCAAGAUUGGGACAACCCAGGGAAACUUGGGCUAAUACCGGAUGAAAGCAGCAGUGAUGUUGUUUGAAAGGUGGCGUAAGCUGCCAUUUGGGGAUGAGCCUGCGCUCUAUUAGUUAGUUGGCGGGGUAAAGGCCCACCAAGGCGAUGAUAGAUAGGCGGCCUUAACGGGUGGUCGCCCACACUGGGAUUGAGAUACGGCCCAGACUCCUACGGGAGGCAGCAGUCGAGAAUAGGUCUACAAUGGCCGAAAGGCUGAUAGUGCGACGCCGCGUGAACGAAGAAGCCCUUCGGGGUGUAAAGUUCUUUUAUAUGUGAGCAGUGCUUUCUAUGUGAACAGCAUGGGGAAGAGAUAUUAGCAUAUGAAUAAGCAACGGCUAACUCCGUGCC